rnacentral:rRNA from 1 species
UACGUAGGGCGCAAGCGUUGUCCGGAAUUAUUGGGCGUAGAGAGCUCGUAGGCGGUCUGUCGCGUCGGCUGUGAAAACUCGAGGCUCAACUCCGAGCUUGCAGUCGAUACGGGCAGGCUAGAGUUCGGCAGGGGAGACUGGAAUUCCUGGUGUAGCGGUGAAAUGCGCAGAUAUCAGGAGGAACACCGGUGGCGAAGGCGAGUCCCUGGACAAUACCUGACACUGAGGCACGAAAGCUAGGGGAGCAAACAGG